UACGGAGGGGGCGAGUGUUGUUCGGAAUUACUGGGCGUAAAGGGCGCGCAGGCGGCCGGGCCAGUCGAGUGUGAAAGCCCUUGGCUUAACCAAGGAAUGGCGCUCGAAACUACCCGGCUGGAGGGCGGGAGAGGGAAGUGGAACUCUCGGUGUAGGGGUGAAAUCUGUAGAGAUCGAGAGGAACACCGGUGGCGAAGGCGGCUUCCUGGCCCGUACCUGACGCUGAGGCGCGAAAGCGUGGGGAGCAAACAGG
rnacentral:rRNA from 1 species